rnacentral:rRNA from 1 species
CUGAGUAACACGUGGGCAACCUGCCCUUUGCACUGGGAUAGCCUCGGGAAACCGAGGUUAAUACCGGAUACUCCAUAUUUGUCGCAUGGCGAAUAUGGGAAAGCUCCGGCGGCAAAGGAUGGGCCCGCGGCCUGUUAGCUAGUUGGUGGGGUAGUGGCCUACCAAGGCAAUGAUGGGUAGCCGGGUUGAGAGACCGACCGGCCAGAUUGGGACUGAGACACGGCCCAGACUCCUACGGGAGGCAGCAGAG